rnacentral:tRNA from 1 species
UAGUGCAUCCAUAGUUUAAACGGGAAAAUUACAGUCUUCCAAACUGAGGUUGAGGGUUCGAUUCCCUCUGGA